CCUACGGGAGGCAGCAGUGAGGAAUAUUGGUCAAUGGGCGCGAGCCUGAACCAGCCAAGUAGCGUGAAGGAUGACUGCCCUACGGGUUGUAAACUUCUUUUAUAAAGGAAUAAAGUGAGGCACGUGUGCCUUUUUGUAUGUACUUUAUGCAUAAGGAUCGGCUAACUCCGUGCCAGCAGCCGCGGUAAGACGGAGGAUCCGAGCGUUAUCCGGAUUUAUUGGGUUUAAAGGGAACGUAGCAGGGUUGUUAAGUAAGUUUUGAAAGUUUGCGGCUCAACCGUAAAAUUGCAAUUGAUACUGGCAGCCUUGAGUACAGGUGAGGUAGGCGGAAUUCGUGGUGUAGCGGUGAAAUGCUUAGAUAUCACGAAGAACUCCGAUUGCGAAGGCAGCUUACUAAACUGCCACUGACAUUGAUGCUCGAAAGUGUGGGUAUCAAACAGGAUUAGAUACCCUUGUAGUC
rnacentral:rRNA from 1 species